AUCAGGCUUUUUGGCAGCUAUGGGCAGCCACUCCUGUGGCAUUUCAUCUGGGUCUGGAGAUUGUAGGAGGGGCCAGCGACUCUUGAGGCUCAGCCUCAAGCAGCAGAAGGGUUUGUGUCCUUUGACUGAGAUGCUAAGUGAAGCAGAGCAAAUGGCUGAGUCCAAGAGACAGGGAUGACGCCAAUUAAAAUGCCUAAUGGAAAUGUAUGAAAGAAGGUGGACACAGUGGCUCAUGCCUGUAAUUCUAGCACUUUGGGAGGCUGAGGCAGGCAGAUCACCUGAAGUUGGGAGUUCAAGUGCAGCCUGGCCAGCAUGGUGAAACCCCAUCUCUACUAAAAAUACAAAAAUUAGCCAGGCAUGAUGGCAGGUGCCUGUAAUCCUAGCUACUCAGGAGGCUGAGGUGGGAGAAUCACUUGAACCGGGGAGGAAGAGGUUGCAGUGAGCUGAGAUCAUGUCAUUGCACUCCAGCCUGGGUGACAGAGCAAAACUCUGCCUAAAGAAAAAAAAAAAGGAUAAAGUAUGUACUUAUUCAUAGCAACAUUAUUACAUCAUUCUGAAAUCUUUUGGAUUUUUGCCAUUAUAACUGAGAAAUAAUACCUAAAUAUAGCUUUAGUCUACAUUGCUCUUCUUAAGAAUAAAGUUGAGGCUUUUAUAUAUGUUUCAUGAAGUGUGUAUGUAUUUUCUUCUGUGAAUUCUUCAUAUCUUUUGUUCAGUUUUUCUGCUGGGGUUUUUAUGUGUUUCUGUCUAUGUCCAGGACCUAUUCUAGGGAGAUUAUCCCUCUGCUGUCACACAAAUUGCAAAUAUUUUCCUGACUCGUCAUUUAUCUGUUACUAUUUUAAUUAUUUGAUAAGUUAAAUUUGGCCUUGGUUGUAGUGCUUUUUUUUUUAACCUUGAAACAUUUUUUUUUUUUUUUUUUUUUUUACCGCAGUCAAAUUUAACAAUCUUUAUUUGUGGCCUUUAGAGUUUACGUUUUAAUUUAAGUUCUACCCCCAUUCCAAGGUCAUAAAGAAAAUUCUCCACUAUUUUCUCUACUACUUUAUGAUUAUUUUAUUUUGCACUUAAAGAUUUGAUCUUUUGGAAUUUAUUCUAGUAUAUAGUGUGAAAUUUGGAUUUAACUACAGUCUGUUCUCAUUAUUCACAGAUUCUGUUCUUGUGAAUUCAUCUACUUGCUAAAACGUAUUUAUAACCCUAGAAUCUGUACUCAGUAUUUUUGCAGUCAUUCUUGACACAAGUAGUGGCAAAACAUUUGAGUUGUCUGAUGUGUGCAUGUUCCCAGUUAAGGCUGAACAACUGAUGCUCCGCCUUCUGUGGUGCUGUAAACAAAUGGGCUUCUUCCAGCCUAUUUAGUAUGACAUCUUCACAUUUUUUGUGCUGUUUGUUGGUGCCUAAGUAUAGUGCUGAAAUGUUAUCUAAUAUUCCCAACUGUCUUACAGACCAAAUAUGUGUGUAAGAUUAGCUUUGUUCAGGCAUGCGUUACAGUGCUUUUGGC
rnacentral:lncRNA from 1 species